rnacentral:rRNA from 1 species
UGGGGAAUUUUGGACAAUGGGCGCAAGCCUGAUCCAGCAAUGCCGCGUGCAGGAUGAAGGCCUUCGGGUUGUAAACUGCUUUUGUACGGAGCGAAAAGGUCUGCCCUAAUACGGUGGGCUCAUGACGGUACCGUAAGAAUAAGCACCGGCUAACUACGUGCCAGCAGCCGCGGUAAUACGUAGGGUGCGAGCGUUAAUCGGAAUUACUGGGCGUAAAGCGUGCGCAGGCGGUUAUAUAAGACAGAGGUGAAAUCCCCGGGCUCAACCUGGGAACUGCCUUUGUGACUGCAUAGCUAGAGUACGGUAGAGGGGGAUGGAAUUCCGCGUGUAGCAGUGAAAUGCGCAGAUAUGCGGAGGAACACCGAUGGCGAAGGCAAUCCCCUGGACCUGUACUGACGCUCUUGCACGAAAGCGUGGGGAGCAAACA